UACGUAGGGGGCAAGCGUUGUCCGGAUUUAUUGGGCGUAAAGAGCGUGUAGGCGGCCAAGUAGGUCCGUUGUGAAAACUCGAGGCUCAACCUCGAGACGCCGAUGGAAACCAUUUGGCUAGAGUCCGGAAGAGGAGAGUGGAAUUCCUGGUGUAGCGGUGAAAUGCGCAGAUAUCAGGAAGAACACCCGUGGCUAAGGCGGCUCUCUAGUACGGUACUGACGCUGAGACGCGAAAGCGUGGGGAGCGAACAGG
rnacentral:rRNA from 1 species